rnacentral:snRNA from 1 species
AUCGCUUCUCAGCCGUUUGGCUAAGAUCAAAGUGUGGUAUCUGUUUUUUCAGCUUGAGGUGGAUUGUUACGAUUUUUAUUGGUGUUUUUUCUAACUUCAGCUCAUGAACACAGAUAGCAAAAGUUGAUUUCGCGGGAACUAGGAGACUUAACACACAUG